rnacentral:rRNA from 1 species
AGGGAGUCAUGGAGGGUGAGAACCCCGUCUGUGACUCGGUUUUUUUUUGCCCGAUGAAUGACGGUCUCCAAGAGUCGGGUUGUUUGGGAAUGCAGCUCAAAAUGGGUGGUAAAUCUCAUCUAAAGCUAAAUAUUGGCGAGAGACCGAUAGCAAACAAGUAGAGUGAUCGAAAGAUGAAAAGCACUUUGAAAAGAGAGUGAAACAGUACGUGAAAUUGUUGAAAGGGAAGCGUUUGGCAUCAGCCCAUGGCCUCCGACGAUCAUCCGGGCCUCGUGUCCGGUGCACUUUUUUGGGGUCGGGCCAGCAUCGGCUUCGUCCGUCGGAGAAAGGUCCAGAGGACGUGGCUCCCUCACGGGAGCGUUAUAACUCUGGGCGUCAUACGACGUGACGGGGCCGAGGUCCAC